CGGACGGGUGAGUAACGCGUGGGUAACCUGCCCUGUACAGGGGGAUAACAGCUGGAAACGGCUGCUAAUACCGCAUAAGCGCACGAGGAGACAUCUCCUAGUGUGAAAAACUCCGGUGGUACAGGAUGGGCCCGCGUCUGAUUAGCUGGUUGGCAGGGUAACGGCUCACCAAGGCGACGAUCAGUAGCCGGCUUGAGAGAGUGACCGGCCACAUUGGGACUGAGACACGGCCCAGACUCCUACGGGAGGCAGCAUG
rnacentral:rRNA from 1 species